GAUGAACGCUGGCGGCGUGCCUAAUACAUGCAAGUCGAGCGAACAGAUGAGAAGCUUGCUUCUCUGAUGUUAGCGGCGGACGGGUGAGUAACACGUGGGUAACCUACCUAUAAGACUGGGAUAACUCCGGGAAACCGGGGCUAAUACCGGAUAAUAUUUUGAACCGCAUGGUUCAAUAGUGAAAGACGGUUUCGGCCGUCACUUAUAGAUGGAACCGCGCCGUAUUAGCUAGUUGGUAAGGUAACGGCUUACCAAGGCGACGAUACGUAGCCGACCUGAGAGGGUGAUCGGCCACACUGGAACUGAGACACGGUCCAGACUCCUACGGGAGGCAGCAGUAGGGAAUCUUCCGCAAUGGGCGAAAGCCUGACGGAGCAACGCCGCGUGAGUGAUGAAGGUCUUCGGAUCGUAAAACUCUGUUGUUAGGGAAGAACAAAUUUGUUAGUAACUGAACAAGUCUUGACGGUACCUAACCAGAAAGCCACGGCUAACUACGUGCCAGCAGCCGCCGUAA
rnacentral:rRNA from 1 species